rnacentral:rRNA from 1 species
GCCUACGGGGGGCAGCAGUGGGGAAUAUUGCACAAUGGGGGAAACCCUGAUGCAGCGACGCCGCGUGAGUGAAGAAGUAUCUCGGUAUGUAAAGCUCUAUCAGCAGGAAAGAUAAUGACGGUACCUGACUAAGAAGCCCCGGCUAACUACGUGCCAGCAGCCGCGGUAAUACGUAGGGGGCAAGCGUUAUCCGGAUUUACUGGGUGUAAAGGGAGCGUAGACGGCAGCGCAAGUCUGGAGUGAAAUGCCGGGGCUCAACCCCGGAACUGCUUUGGACACUGUCCAGCUGGAGUGCAGGAGAGCUA